rnacentral:lncRNA from 1 species
AUGACAAGUUAUUAUGGAACAGGUGCUUAUAUACUAGGGUCAAGGUCACUGGCCAGCUAUAGGUGGUUAUAUAGUUUGUUUCUUUAAACAGAGAUAUUAUAUGUAAGCUUCACCCCUCAUAGAGAAGUAAAGCUAAUUCAUUACUUUCGAGCCUCAGGCUCAUAUUCUAAGAAUGACCUUCAUCCUGCACAUCCAAGAUAUGCUUGGAUGAAGGAACAUUUUUCUGUGAAUGCUGAUAAAAAUCCCGUAAUUUGACUAAUAGGUAAAACAUCUGCUGCAGUGAAUUUGAAGAUAAAAAGUAAAAUAUACCAUGACCUAUCAACAGAAAAUACAAAAUAUGAUGAAAAAACUUAAGAAAUUAUACACAUACACAUCUGUCAUUGAGCAGAACUCGAACAGCAUCUAUAUUUUUUUCAUUCAUAGGAUUUUCUUUCAGAGACAUAUAACAUACAUUUAUUUUCUUAAGACUGUAAGUUAAGGGUCCCAAGAAUGUAAUAAAUAAUUCAUAUAACAACAAUGAGGUAGAAUAUACAAAUAUGAAAUGCAGAUGUUAUUGAAGAGACAUAUUAUUUCAGCCAGGGAUCCUGAAGAAAACACAGCUUUACACUGAAGGGUCAGGGGGAUGACCAAUUUUGAAGACUUGUUAGAAUUGAAUUUACUAGUCAUGUGAAAAAUAUGUAAAAUAAAAGUUAUCAGUGUAAAAAAGUAAAGACUGUUUACUAUAUUAGAUUAUUUCCAUUUCCAUGACAUUUUGACAAUUUAAAUCAAUUCAUGGCAGACUAAAAAUAAAAUUGGAAAUUUUAUUUGUUGGCAGUUGAAUUUUCUUACAGGGCAUUUCUCUAACAUCAAAUAAUUGUAAAAUAUAUUCAGUUGGUUUUAUUUUAUAACGGUGAGCUAGGUACCCAGACUAUAUUUUUAUAAUUGUUUCCCUUUAAAUAAGGAAAUUAUCUCCCUUAAAAAAAGAAUUUGUAAGUUUUCUGGGUUAUUUAGUUAAUAUAUGAGGUAAAGGAUAUUAUAGCAUCUUGUAAAAAGAUAAGCUGAAAUUUAAAAUUUCAUGUCACAUUCAAUUGGAAUAUAUAUAAUAUUAAGAAAAAAAUAUUUAUUUUCAUUUUGCAAGACAAUAAAAGAUGCUUAAAACCUGUCCAGAUUAUAAAUGAGGUAUAAAGGGAAAGUAGCACUAAAUGAGGGAAAUAUUCUAUGAGACUGUACUGUACAUAAACUUGAGCAAAAUAAUGCUUCACCAAUAAAAAAUACUGGAGCUCUGGAAAUAUCAAUUUCAGGUAAGUUUUUAGGUCAAAAGUGACAUUCUGUACUUAAAUAUCUAUAUUUAGAUGAAAUAACAUUUCAACUAUUCUUAAAUUUAUCUUAAUAAACAAAUGUAAAUAAAAGUGAAUGUAAAUAAUAAAAAUGUGACUUAUACCGGUAAUGUUGUUUGCGUUUGAGAUAAAAGAUCAUCUUUGCGUAUAGAGUUAUUUAUAUCUUUUAGAGGUAGAAAAGGUCAAACUUUCUUUCAAUAUAAAUAAAUUCUGAUUAAAUACGGACCCGUUUCAACACAAUUGCAUGAUGGGUAUUGUACAAGAGGUAUACUUUGAUAGUUCUAAAUUGACUAUCCAAAUUUUACAAUACCCACAAGGAAAAUUUUCAUAUCUAAUGAACAUACACAAUGUGGUAGCAGGCAUACAAACAUACCUCUAGCUUAAUAUCAUCAACAAAUCUUGGUCAAAACAACUUCAAAUAUCACAUAAAUAAUACCCUGUCAUUUAGAUUUUAAGGGGCAAUUUUGUCAUGAGUAAUAAUUGUGAAGUACAAAAUGUAAAACCUAAGAAUUCUAUCUUGAUUCCAAAAUAAGAAUAUUGUGAUAGUAGUUAAGUUUCCACUGUCAGGUAAAACUUUUUCAACUUGAAAGUGAAAGUAAAAUUUCAUAAAUCUUCUUAAUCAAAACAAACUACUACAUAGAAAGAGUUCUUUUUUGGAAAAAACAUCCCCCCUUCAAUAAAAAGCUAUUCAAACAAGUAUCAUUUAAUCCAAGAAAUACCAAGCAGCCUGAAUAGUAUUUUCUAUAUUAAAAAAACAUGUAAACUUAGUACCAAUAUUUUGGCCAAGAUUUGUUGAUUUUUUUCUAGUCCACGAGUCGCCACUAGUCAAAACACAUAUACAAUAUCAUAAGCAGUAGGCAUAUAUCAUUAAAAAACCAUCAAUUUUAAUAUACAAAACAAAACAAAAAAUCAAAUAUAUAUAUAUAUUUAUAUAGAUAUAUAUCUAGAACAUAUUACUAUGAAAUGAGGUAAUUCUUCAAUGUUACAUGAGCUCUAUGUAUAAUUAUGAGGCAAAACUACAGAGCGAAAAAGUGCAACAAAUAAAUUGAAAACAUGACUAUUUAUAACAUCAUAUUUAUGAGGUAUUUCAUCAACAGAGGUAGUGCAUAACUGACUUGAGCAAUAAAUAUUUCUCUCCAUUUCUAUGUUUUAUUACUGGGGGGUGGGGGAGGGGGUGAUCUCGAAAUCCGGAGCUUAACAAACACGAAAUCCUGAGAUCCUGAAUUUGAAUAAAUUUAAAUCCCCACAUCCCAUAAUUCAAAAAAAGAAUUCCCGGAUCCCGAAAUUCCGAGCUUAAAAACACCCAAUCCCGGAGUCCUGAUAAAGGUCCUAUCCUCCCUCAUAACUGAAGCUCUCAAAAAUUGUAGACUUAAUAUGACACAAAAUACAAAAAACAGAGUGUAUAUACUCUUUAAAGGAAACUGAGUUUAUACCUGGUUUAAGAAGGGAUUUACAUUUAAUGUUUUAAAGAUUUUUUUUGGGGGGACAUUGUAUUUGGAUGAGGAGGGGAGGGCUAUGAUGUUGCCUUAUCUUUCUAUUUACAGUUUCUGAUGUUUGCCUCCUAUCUUUAACUGUCUGUUACAGAAAACUAUAAGACAGUUAGCAAUAAAUAAAUUAAAGAUAAGACCCUGUUAAGAACAUCAGACUAGAAAUGAAGUCACUUGAAAAUAAAUAUAUUCAUUUGUUAAUUUUUGCUCAAUAAAAAGUCACAUGGUAUUCUUAACGUGCAGUAUCUGACAUUCCACCAACACAGUGCUAAAACAAUGAAAUGAAGAGAAAUUUUAAACCAAGUCUCCACUCUUAGGCAUGGAUUUACUACUAAUAUAUAAUUAUAUGUAUAUAGAUAUAGAUACUUUACAAUAUUUACUACAUUUACCUGUUGAGGUCAUAUAUUAGAACAAUGGCAUAAAAAGAGCAAGCUGAGUCAAUUAUAUUACAAGAUUAAACUUUAUAUACAAAUGAAGCUGGCUCAGUGCUUAAAAAGCAUAACAUGGACCCAAACUCAUAAAUAUUGGGAGUCCAAUUUGAGGUAUACUGGUACAUAAAUAAUUACUGACUUUAAAAUGAGACAGGGGUUUCUUUGGUCAAGAAGUCUUUUUCUGAACUUGGUGUAAAGCCAGGUUUAAGCAAAAUUUCUUCCUGAAAGACCUAUGUCUAAAUGUCUAUUUAGAAUAAUAUAAAAAUAUUUAGUUUUUUUUAUUUGAAAAAAAUUGUUUCAAUAUAUGUAUAUAUAUGAAUUAUCAAACUUAUUUAUAAACUUAAUGAAAAUUUGCAAGGUUCCAAAAUUAUUACAUAUUUUAUUUUACUAAUUUCAGUUGUUUUAAUUAGACGCAUGUAUUAAAUUAUCUCCCCUUACAAGCAAUAUUGACAUUUCAAAGUUGUUUCCCCUUGAUCAUUGUUGCAGAGUUUGAAAAGUAUGUCUUGAUAAGAAUGUAAAUCUUUCUUAACCUGAGUUGUCUGACUGAAUAAAUCACUUCUAAGAUGUAGUUAUUGUAGCCUGAGGGUGGGUAAUUGGUCAAUGAAUAUAUCCCCUGAAAUUUCAAAAAUACUUUUUUAACUCCUUCUUAACCUGAGAGUUCUACCAUAUAUAGUGUAGUUUUAGAGGUAUCUUGUGGGCAAGAAUUUUACCCUGAUAAAAAAAAAUGUUGCUUCGCCAUCAUAUCUGUUGUGUAUAUAAUAUAAUGUAAAUAUAUAUAUAUAAUCAAUUCAACUAUUUACAAAUUACAACAAAUUGAAAAAAAAUCAACUUUUGCAUUUAUUAUUCUACAACUCGUACCCAGUAAAAAACAGUGAAAUUACUAUGCAGUAAGAAACAAAAAAAUGUGGAUUUCUUUUACAAAA